UAAUAAAAGUGUUUUAUGGCACUUUUCAAACGAAUCCAUAUCCACCUUGUGUGCAAUGUUUUUUUUUUUUAAAUAAACACUUUAUUUUUUAAUUGCCAAUUUAUCUGAAGAUCAGUAUUAUUAUGAAUUAACUUAAUUCAAAAUA
rnacentral:misc_RNA from 1 species